CCGGGUCGAACCCCAAGGGAGCAGCGGGGUCCGGGAGUGGAGAGCCUGGCGCGGAGCGGGGUGGGGGCGCGCGGACGGCGCGCGCGCGGGAGGGCCCCGCCUCGGCCGGCUCCUUCCCUCCCUCCCCGCCCCCGGUCGGCCGCUGGGGAGCGCGCCUCGCCUCGCACCCCCACCCCCGACCCUCCACGCUCCGCGGGCCCCGCGGAGCUGCCGAGGCCGUGUGCCGGCCCGCCGAGCGGUUCCGGGUGUAGGGUUCACAGGUCAGAGUUGACUCCCUGAAAAGUGCAGCCGGUUUGAAAUGCAAGAUGGCGGCGGCGGGGCGCUGAGAGGCGCGGCGGCCCCUGCAGGAUAUGGCAGAUAGGUACUUCAGACCUGUUGGUAAUGAUGGCCUGAGCUAAACACCUAAUUUGAAGGGACACCCUCCAUGUCAAAGAACAGAAUGCUGAAGAAGCUAUGGCAAGUGUUUGGAGUUGGGCUUCAAACAUUUCAGCAGUUCAACAGUAUCUUAUCUGCCAAGAAUAAGCUCUUUACUUGAUUGCACCAUGGAAAAGCUGCUAAUGAAACUUGUUGAACACAAAAAUGGACUUGAAGAACCAAAAGCCAUUGUUUUCAAAUGAAGAAUACUGAACAAUUUUAAGCCUCAAUGCUUUUUAAUCACCGCUGAGAUCUUCCUCAUAACAUCAGAAUGGCAAGCAGGCGAAAAUCCACAACCCCCUGCAUGGUCCUUGCCAGUGAACAGGAUCCGGACCUCGAGUUGAUAUCAGACUUGGAUGAAGGCCCUCCUGUACUGACACCUGUAGAAAGCACCAGAGCAGAGAGCGUCUCAAGUGAUGAAGUUCAUGAAUCUGUGGACUCCGACAAUCAGCAAAAUAAAAAAGUUGAAGGUGGCUAUGAAUGUAAAUAUUGUACUUUUCAAACCCCAGAUCUAAAUAUGUUUACUUUCCAUGUGGAUUCAGAACAUCCCAACGUCGUGCUAAAUUCAUCCUAUGUCUGUGUUGAAUGCAAUUUUCUUACCAAAAGGUAUGAUGCACUUUCUGAGCAUAAUCUGAAACAUCACCCAGGAGAAGAGAAUUUUAAGUUGACUAUGGUGAAACGAAAUAACCAGACGAUCUUUGAGCAGACAAUAAAUGAUCUGACUUUUGAUGGUAGUUUUGUUAAAGAGGAGCACUCAGAGCAAGCUGAACCUGCAGAAGUUGCGUCUUCGGGAAUAUCUAUCAGUAAAACUCCGAUCAUGAAAAUGAUGAAAAAUAAAGCGGAGAACAAGCGGGUUACAGUUCACCACAACUCAGCUGAGGACGUUCCCGAAGACAAAGAGAAUGAAAUCAAACCAGACCGUGAAGAAACUGUGGAAAACCCAAGUUCUUCGGCUUCUGAAUCUAAUACAGGUACUUCCGUUGUAAGCAGAAUACAUCCGAAUACUGCCAGCACGCUCGUGACCCCCGCAGCAGUUCUCCCUGGGCUAGCUCAGGUGAUAACUGCGGUAUCGGCUCAGCAGAAUUCCAGUCUGAUUCCCAAAGUCUUAAUCCCUGUUAAUAGCAUUCCCACCUACAAUGCUGCAUUGGAUAACAACCCCCUUUUGCUCAACACCUACAACAAAUUCCCUUACCCAACAAUGUCAGAAAUUACUGUUCUUUCCGCUCAAGCAAAAUACACAGAGGAACAGAUCAAGAUCUGGUUUUCAGCCCAACGCCUAAAACAUGGCGUCAGCUGGACUCCCGAGGAGGUAGAGGAGGCCAGAAGAAAACAAUUCAAUGGAACAGUACACACUGUACCUCAGACCAUAACUGUUAUUCCUACACACAUUUCCACGGGGAGUAAUGGUUUACCAUCCAUUUUACAGACAUGCCAAAUAGUUGGCCAGCCAGGUCUGGUCCUUACACAAGUAGCUGGAGCGAACACCUUGCCUGUAACAGCACCUAUAGCCUUGACCGUGGCAGGGGUUCCAAGUCAAACAAAUGUACAAAAAAGUCAGGCGCCUGCUGCUCAACCGAAUGCAGAGACAAAGCCAGCCACAGCAGCCAUCCCACCUUCUCCGCUCAUCAAACAUGAAACCGCAGCGGCAAACCCUGAUUCCUUUGGCAUUCGGGCCAAAAAGACUAAAGAGCAACUGGCCGAAUUAAAAGUCAGCUACCUUAAAAACCAGUUUCCCCAUGAUUCAGAAAUCAUCAGACUUAUGAAAAUCACAGGCCUGACUAAAGGAGAGAUUAAAAAAUGGUUUAGUGACACAAGGUACAACCAGAGAAAUUCAAAGAGUAAUCAGUGCUUACAUCUCAACAACGACUCCUCCACCACUAUUCUUAUAGACUCCAGCGAUGAAACCACGGAGUCCCCCGCUGUGGUUACUUCACAGCCGAAACAAUCCUGGAAUCCUUUUCCUGACUUCACUCCCCAGAAGUUUAAAGAGAAGACCACAGAGCAGCUUCGUGCCCUUCAGGCGAGUUUUCUCAACAGUUCCGUACUCACCGAUGAAGAAUUAAAUAGGUUAAGAGCGCAAACCAAACUUACCAGAAGGGAAAUUGAUGCUUGGUUUACAGAGAAGAAGAAAUCAAAAGCUUUAAAGGAAGAGAAGGUAGAAAUAGACGAAAAUAAUGCAGGUAGUUCCAAAGAAGAAGCUGGAGAAACUUCUCCCAGAGAUGACUCUGGUGCACCUAAGCCAGGGAGCACAGGCAAGAUCUGUAAAAAAACACCCGAGCAGUUACACAUGCUGAAGAGUGCUUUUGUCCGAACACAGUGGCCGUCACCGGAAGAGUAUGACAAGUUGGCUGAAGAAAGCGGGCUUGCUAGAACAGACAUCGUCAGUUGGUUUGGCGACACUCGUUAUGCUUGGAAAAAUGGAAAUCUAAAAUGGUACUACUAUUAUCAAAGCGCCAAUUCGAGUAGUAUGAAUGGUUUGUCCUCCCUUCGGAAAAGGGGGAGAGGGAGACCCAAAGGAAGGGGAAGAGGAAGACCACGUGGGCGGCCAAGAGGAAGCAAGAGAAUGAACAACUGGGACAGGGGGCCAUCACUCAUAAAAUUUAAAACUGGAACUGCAAUACUUAAGGAUUAUUACCUGAAGCACAAAUUUCUUAAUGAGCAAGACCUUGACGAACUUGUGAACAAAUCACAUAUGGGUUAUGAGCAGGUCAGAGAGUGGUUUGCAGAAAGACAGAGGAGAUCAGAGUUAGGGAUAGAAUUAUUUGAGGAAAAUGAGGAGGAAGAUGAAGUUAUUGAUGAUCAGGAAGAGGAUGAAGAAGAGACAGAUGAUAGUGACACUUGGGAACCCCCACGACAUGUGAAACGGAAGCUUUCUAAAUCAGAUGACUGAAAUGAAAGAAUUCAAAAAUGAAAACUAAAAAGAAGGGGAAAAGUUACCGAAGGACAGACUUACCACAGGGGCGAGGAUUGCUCAGUUUUAGGAAACUAGCUGCCUAAAAUGUUGGAGGAGAAUCAAUUCUUCAACGCAAGAUGUCUGAUUUACUGUGAAUGGGCCCAAUCUUUGAUGACACUGAAAACAUUUUGGGGCAUACACAUUCUCAAAAAAUAGGAUCCAAUACCCAAAAGAAAUGGAACUUAAUGUUGUGCCAAAGUUAAACUACUGCAUUUGGCGGAAGUUCUGCAAUGUAAAUAGAACAUUAAUUAAACAACUUGUAAAAAUUUGAAUUUUAAUAUAGUACAUUUUUAUUCUGAUACGAUGGAGAUGUUCUGAUUCUUAGACUUUCUGAGGGGGUUUAAAGACCACUAGAACUUGUCCUCAUAUUUUGUCCAGCUUAAUACUGUAUGUCUAGUGAGAUGGGCCUUGUUGCCUAUAUUCUUUGAUAUGUGAUUAAGCUUAUAGCUUUGAGUGACCAAAUUUUACAGAGUAAAAAUUGUUAGAAACAGGAAAAAGAAGAACCUGAUUUAUUUCUAUGUCUUAUUUAUCAGGCCCUGCACUAAGAUUUAAAUUUGUGCAUGGGCUUGUACAAUUUCAAUGUAAGUGACAAAAAAACAGCCUAUUGACAAAUGUUGAAACAUAAAAUUUUGUGAUAACAGUGGCCCUUAAUGAUUGGAUCUUUAAUUGAACACAUUCAUGGAUACCACUAUUACUCUGUAAUACUCUGUUCAUUUUUUUCAUUAGAGGCCGAAUUUGCUUUGUAUUAAAUUAAAGAUAAUCAAUACUGAAGAAGGAAAUGAAAAUGGCAUAAGAAUUUGGAUAGGGUGAAACUCUGAAAUAAAUAUUUUACCAAAAAUGUGAAGAAGAACCAUAUAGUAAAUAUAUACUUAGUGUUUUCUUACAAUCAUAUAGAAAUCAGAAAUGUUUGUACAGUUAUCAGAUCAGAAUUUUCGAGAAUUGUCUUUCAGGGAAAUUCUACUUUAUGUAGCAAUUUCAGUGAAGAGAGGAAAAAAAUUCUGAACUGAUCAUAAUGAGUUAAAGGUUAGCUUUUGACUUAUGAAUCAUGGGAGUGUUAACUGUUAACUCUUGCCAUAUCAGGAGACUGAAAGUUCAUACUAACUUAUAAACUUUGUAAAGACCGGUGCUGUUCAUUCAUGUUGAGAAGGACCCUUUUUUUGUGACUAUAGGAUUGUUUUUCAAAAUGUGCUUUCUUCAUAGAGAAAAUGUUCGGUUUAAUUAGCUCUGGAUUUUAAAAUGUUUUUCUGAAUGACCGGAUGUAGUGGGCUUGGCCAGUUUCUUUUGUCUAAUUUAAUGAAUAAUAUUAAGCUCUUGUUUUUACCUAAAUGUUUGUCAGCUAAUGAAAUGUUAUGAAAAAGCCUUGAAUAUGCAUGCUGCUUUCAUUUUUAUAAACUUUUUAUUUUUUAACUAUAGCUUUAUUAGUAAUUCCAAAAUGCUGCAAUUUAGCUGAUUUCUUCACUCAGACAGCUGGCUUUGUGGGUGGCUUUUUCAUACUACUGUUAACUUUUAUAAGAAGAAGCAAUGUAAAGACUGUAACAAUUUAAUGCACUAAACUGUUCUUUCUUUUACACAUUUAAAAACUUCUUAAAGCACUCUGUAUUAUAAUGAUUAAAUUGCUCCCUUUUUUAAACCAUUGCUAAUGUGGUCUGAGUUUUGUUUGACAAUUUUCAUAUUUUCAAAUCUGAAAUGUCAAGUAUUGGAAAUCAGCCUUUGAAUAAUACAUUUAUAUCAUGUUUCCCUUGCAGUGUGUCAACUUUGUAUAGCCGUAAAUAACUAGUAAUAAUUUUCCCCUCUCUCUCUUUUAUAAACUUGGCACUUCAUCCUGCUCUGAUGUUUGCUAGCUUUUAAAUAUAUUUAUUUGACAGAGCAAAACUCCUCUUCUCCCAGUUGAUUAUGUCCUUGAAUACAGAAUAAAAGUUAGCAGC